rnacentral:rRNA from 1 species
AAACUAACAAGGAUUCCCCUAGUAGCGGCGAGCGAAGCGGGAAAAGCUCAAAUUUGUAAUCUGGCGCCUUCGGCGUCCGAGUUGUAAUCUCGAGAAAUGUUUUCCGUGUUAGACCGCAUACAAGUCUCUUGGAACAGAGCGUCAUAGUGGUGAGAACCCAGUACACGAUGCGGAUGCCUAAUACUUUGUGAUACAUUUUCGAAGAGUCGAGUUGUUUGGGAAUGCAGCUCAAAUUGGGUGGUAAAUUCCAUCUAAAGCUAAAUAUUGGCGAGAGACCGAUAGCGAACAAGUACCGUGAGGGAAAGAUGAAAAGCACUUUGGAAAGAGAGUUAACAGUACGUGAAAUUGUUGGAAGGGAAACACAUGCAGUCAGACUUGCUAUUCGGGGCAACUCGAUUGGCAGGCCCGCAUCAGUUUUUCGGGGCGGAAAAGCAUAGAGAGAAGGUAGCAGUUUCGGCUGUGUUAUAGCUCUUUAUUGGAUUCGCCCUGGGGGACUGAGGAACGCAGCGUGCUUUUAGCAUGAGCUUCGGCUUAUCCACGCUUAGGAUGCGGGUGUAAUGGCUGUAUAUGACCCGUCUU